rnacentral:rRNA from 1 species
AUUGAGCGCUGGCGGCAGGCCUAACACAUGCAAGUCGAACGGUAACAGAAAGCAGCUUGCUGCUUUGCUGACGAGUGGCGGACGGGUGAGUAAUGUCUGGGAAACUGCCUGAUGGAGGGGGAUAACUACUGGAAACGGUAGCUAAUACCGCAUAACGUCGCAAGACCAAAGAGGGGGACCUUCGGGCCUCUUGCCAUCGGAUGUGCCCAGAUGGGAUUAGCUAGUAGGUGGGGUAACGGCUCACCUAGGCGACGAUCCCUAGCUGGUCUGAGAGGAUGACCAGCCACACUGGAACUGAGACACGGUCCAGACUCCUACGGGAGGCAGCAGUGGGGAAUAUUGCACAAUGGGCGCAAGCCUGGUGCAGCCAUGCCGCGUGUAUGAAGAAGGCCUUCGGGUUGUAAAGUACUUUCAGCGGGGAGGAAGGGAGUAAAGUUAAUACCUUUGCUCAUUGACGUUACCCGCAGAAGAAGCACCGGCUAACUCCGUG